rnacentral:rRNA from 1 species
UACGUAGGGUGCAAGCGUUGUCCGGAAUUAUUGGGCGUAAAGAGCUCGUAGGCGGUUUGUCGCGUCUGCUGUGAAAACGCGAGGCUCAACCUCGCGCCUGCAGUGGGUACGGGCAGGCUAGAGUGCGGUAGGGGAGACUGGAAUUCCUGGUGUAGCGGUGAAAUGCGCAGAUAUCAGGAGGAACACCGGUGGCGAAGGCGGGUCUCUGGGCCGUAACUGACGCUGAGGAGCGAAAGCAUGGGGAGCGAACAGG